rnacentral:lncRNA from 1 species
CUCUUUGCCACCCAAAAUUGAUUGCCAUAUCAGAUCUUUGUGCCAAGAAACACUAAGAAGAAUCUGGGUGUAUCGGGUGUUUCUUGUUGUGUCCAACAUUGUUACCAACUUCAACCUACUAUAGCCACCUCAUCUAGAAUCCAAAUUCAAUCCUGUAAAUUAUGUUCCUUUCUUGCUUCUCUCAAAAUUCUGUAGGAUCUAAUCUUGCUCAAUUUGGAGUCCUGUAGCUUGCCUUUUAGGGGUCCUCACACCAAAAUAUCCAGAAUUUAGAUUGGUUGACUAGAUGGGAGAGAUUAACUGCUUGAUUUAUUUUCUACACCUCUAGUUUCUUUUCUGGCUGAUGAUGCCAAAAAGGAUAAGGUGUGGGGUCCAUUGAUAUCUUGAUUUGGUUAUUCUGCUUUGAGGUGGACUCUGAUUUUGAUGCAAGACCUGAUGACUCCGGAUGACAAACCCUGCUGAAUCGGACUCAACCAAUUUCACUUAAUUUGACCUUUAAAAUAUGGUUAAGCCUAAUUAGGUGUGACCUGGCUCAAUUACCUGCAAUUGACAUAAAAUAUAUCAGGUUCUUACAUUUAUUUAGUUAAUUAUUAUACCAAUUUCAUUAAAAUCAUUAAAAACUAAUAAUAAUAAUUACUAUAAAAAUGCAAUACAUCAAUACUAUCUUGCGAGAACUGAAGAUAAGGUUGGACAAGGCCAAAGGAUCUUUGGCCGAUGAGCUUUACCAUCUACUUUGAGCAUAUAGGAUGACGCCAAGAGUUCCGAUAGGAGAAAUCUCCUUUAGUUUGGCUUUUGAGAUGGAAGCAGUAAUAUCUAUCGAAGUUGGGGUCCCUUUGAUGUGAAUUAAGAAUUUUGACAAGCAGACCAACUCAGAGAGGCUGUGUGCCAACCUGGAUCUACUUGAGAAAGCCAGAGAG